rnacentral:rRNA from 1 species
ACCGGCGCACGGGUGAGUAACACGUAUGCAACCUGCCCUCUUCAGGGGGACAACCUUCCGAAAGGGAGGCUAAUCCCGCGUAUAUCGGUUUCGGGCAUCCGAGAUCGAGGAAAGAUUCAUCGGAAGAGGAUGGGCAUGCGGCGCAUUAGCUAGACGGCGGGGUAACGGCCCACCGUGGCGACGAUGCGUAGGGGUUCUGAGAGGAAGGUCCCCCACACUGGUACUGAGACACGGACCAGACUCCUACGGAAGGCAGCAG